GGGGUUGUGGCUCAGUGGUGGAGCACUUUUCUGGCACAUGUGAAGCCCUGGGUUCGAUCCUCAGCACCACA
rnacentral:tRNA from 1 species